UCCUGGGACCUCCUCCCUCUAUCCAUCCUUAUUGGCUGCCGCAAUUGUCCAUCAAUCAAAGGAGGAAGCCAGGCAGCCAGUUCCCCCUCCUCUCUGUAGUCUCACAGACUGCAGAGAGGAGGCCAGCACUUACAUCUGAAUUCAGACAGAUUCUACGUGGAGCCAGAAAAUGAUCUGCCGUGAUCCCUCUUUGUAAAGGGCUCUCCCGAAGAAGCCAUUUUCAGAUCUCUAAGAUGCUAAUGCUUUGAAUAUGUGCCUAGGCACAUCCGAGGUUGUAGCAGUGAGGAGGACCUGUCUUCCUGACCUGAAAUUUUGUGACAGCACUGCCUCAGGUUGUCCCAAGGCAGGCACAUCACUUCUGGGAGUUGCCAAGGGGCUCUUCUCCUUUUGCCAACACCACUACUAAGUCUCUCCUCUCUUAAUUGUGGCUGGCUGCAGGAAUGGAAACAGAACAUGAUGCAAACCUGAGUGUCAAAAUGGAUCACUGCUCCUUCAGGAAUGAUUUGUGGCUAUUGCAUUUGGCUCAGAUGGGUGUUGAACAGAAAUAUCCUGCUUGUCGCAUUUUAGCAUUUGUCACUCUGAAAACAAUUGUGCACAAAUGUCUUGUACAUACGAGUGCCAUAUAUUUGAUUAUCAGCUUUUGGACAAAGUUGUAGUUGCUGCAAUGAGUUACAGGUUUUUAUUUUAAAAGUUCAUUCCCUUGAGGCUCUUCUCAGUCAACAGAGGUGAUCCAGUAUGUAGACAUUACAGUAUAUACUUGAUCUACAAAGUUUUGUAUAAUCAAAGACUCCUAAGUAAAUCUAAUAGACAUAGGAGAAGAGUCUGGUAAUGGAAUGGUAUCUGAUUAAAGAAAAAGAAGCACAAGUUUGAAAUAAAUGAAUAGUCCAUACAAAGGAAGUCGUGGGGUCUCUGAAAGAUUUAUAUUAGACCCAGCGCUAUCUGAUUUAUUCAUAAAUUAUCCUGAGAGAACCAUGUGUGCACAUGAUACCAAGUAUGACAUCAUAAGGCUCUUGAAUUUCAUAGUUAUCUUUAUGCAUCUGAUUGAGUCCCCUGCUAAUUGAACAAAGAGGCACCUUUUAAAAGUAGUGAUUCUCUUUAUUUAGCAAGGGGAGAGCAACCAGCCCUAUCCAUCCCCAGCACAGCAUCCCAACAGUGGCUGUUGCUGGUGUCUACCUUAUGUUUCUUUUUUAGAUUGUGAGCCCUUUGGGGACAGGGAGCCAUUUUAGUUAUUUAUGUAAACCACUUUGGGAACUUUUGUUGAAAAGUGUUAUGUAAAUAUUUGCCAUCGUAUUCUUCAUAUUGAGUGGACUCUAGUCCAGCAAAGCCUAUGCCACAAGACUUCAAUAUUUUUGCUUCAAUAGACUUAUAUACAGCUGCCCUUCUAGAAGUUGUUACGAUGGAAUGCAAAUGUUUGGGCAGAUGCAUACUGUAAGAAGCUUUAUUAUUUUACUAUUAUCGUGGGGGGAAAUGUUUAAGUCACCCUUUAAAUUGUGCCCCCGUCAAUCUGAGGUGGACUUUACUCAUAUGAGGGUCAGUGCAAUCUGGUGGGAUUCAGAGCUCCAGAGCUGCUCACUUUUAGUGUGUGUACAGUAUAAUGGGAGCCAUCUAAUGGCACGGUGGGGAAAUGGCUUGACUAGCAAGCCAGAGGUUGCCGGUUCGAAUCCCCGCUGGUAUGUUUCUCAGAUUAUGGGAAACACCUAUAUCAGGGAGCAGUGAUAGAGGAAGAUGCUGAAAGGCAUCAUCUCAUACUGUGUGGGAGAUGGCAGUGGUAAACCCCUCCUGUAUUCUACCAAAGACAGCCACAAGGCUCUGUGGUUGCCAGGAGUCGAGUCAAAACUGACUCUUCAGCACACUUUACCUUGACAAUAUAAUGGGGCUGACUGGACAAACUUUGUUUUGAAAUGCUAGAUUUUAAGGCUUGUUCUAAGCUUUCUUUUCUACUGUAGAUUACCCACAUCUACUAGCAAGCCCAUAUUCCAGAAUUUUCUAGCAGAAAGAAAAGAAGGAAGAUGAAAGGGAACAUGAAAAGAAAAAGACAGGGAGAGAGGAGAAGGAAGGAGGGAAGGAAAAAAUGAGAAAGGUGAACCAUGGAAGACAGAGGGAGCAAGAAAAAUGGAAGUGCCUUGUAAAGAAUGGGAGAAAGCUCCACUCCUACUUCAGUAACAGACUGAGCCAGCUUCAGUAAGGUAAGAGGCUUCUUCAGACGACAGAAGGAGACAAGUUGCUGAUCGUGCCCACAUGAGCGCCUGGGCGGUGAUUGUCAAAGUGCAGACAGGAAGAGGAGAGCAUACUCUGAGUUCUCCAAGGACCCAGAAUGCAGCACUUGCCUAUGCAGUGGAGCAGCUUUAGAUUUUGCUGACCUGUCUUCAGGCUGAACAGCAGAGAGAAGAAAUUACCUUCACACCAUGGAGAGAUGAAAUAUUCAUGCAAUAAUUAUUCACGCCAGGAAAAAAAUAGCCAAUUAUCAUCAUAAAUAACCACUCUGUGCCCAGUGAGCCUGCAAUAGAAAUGGCUAACAUUACUCACAAAGUAUAGGAAGCACUUCUAAAGUGGAAUGGCGGAGACUGUAAUUCAAAAUUAAAUGAAAAAUUGAGGAGGUCAAA